rnacentral:rRNA from 1 species
UACGUAGGGUGCAAGCGUUGCCCGGAUUUAUUGGGCGUAAAGGGCGCGUAGGCGGUCAGGUCAGUCCCGUGUGAAAUCCCUCGGCUCAACUGAGGAACUGCACGGGAAACUGCCUGGCUUGAGUUCGGGAGAGGGAAGCGGAAUUCCGGGUGGUAGCGGUGAAAUGCGUAGAUAUCCGGAGGAACACCGGUGGCGAAGGCGGCUUCCUGGACCGACACUGACGCUGAGGCGCGAAAGCUAGGGGAGCAAACGGG